rnacentral:misc_RNA from 1 species
AGAUUGUGGAUUCUCUGUGCAUCCAAAAAUUUUUGUAUGACAUAUGAAGGUUCUAGAUGUCCAAUGGUGUGUAUAUACUGAGCCAUAGCCUCAUCAAAGUUUUGUUUACUGUACAAGUGAUCGCCAUAUUUCCUCAGCACUUCAGCAGUUGCAGCAGCAUCAGCUUGUUGGCUUUGGACAAGAUUUAUAGCAACUGUAUAAAGGUUCUUCUUGAAAAGCAUAUCCAAUUUGCUCUCCAUAUCUUUCUCCCCAAUGCAUAAAGUUGAUUUGUCCUCCAAAAUAAGUAUUAUG